GACGAACGCUGGCGGCGUGCUUAACACAUGCCAGUCGAACGGAAAGGCCCUGCUUUUGUGGGGUGCUCGAGUGGCGAACGGGUGAGUAACACGUGAGUAACCUGCCCUUGACUUUGGGAUAACUUCAUGAAACUGGGGCUAAUACCGGAUAGGAGCUCCUGCUGCAUGGUGGGGGUUGGAAAGUUUCGGCGGUUGGGGAUGGACUCGCGGCUUAUCAGCUUGUUGGUGGGGUAGUGGCUUACCAAGGCUUUGACGGGUAGCCGGCCUGAGAGGGUGACCGGCCACAUUGGGACUGAGAUACGGCCCAGACUCCUACGGGAGGCAGCAGUGGGGAAUAUUGCACAAUGGGCGGAAGCCUGAUGCAGCAACGCCGCGUGCGGGAUGACGGCCUUCGGGUUGUAAACCGCUUUCGCCUGUGACGAAGCGUGAGUGACGGUAAUGGGUAAAGAAGCACCGGCUAACUACGUG
rnacentral:rRNA from 1 species